rnacentral:rRNA from 1 species
GUCGAGAAUCUUUCACAAUGGGGGCAACCCUGAUGGAGCGACGCCGCGUGGAGGAUAAGGUCUUCGGAUUGUAAACUCCUGUCAUGCGUGAACAAGGUUGCUUGGAUAAUACCUGAGCAAAUUGAUGGUAGCGCAAGAGGAAGAGACGGCUAACUCUGUGCCAGCAGCCGCGGUAAUACAGAGGUCUCAAGCGUUGUUCGGAAUCACUGGGCGUAAAGGGUGCGUAGGUGGCGUGGCAAGUCAGAUGUGAAAGCCCGGGGCUCAACCUCGGAACUGCAUCCGAUACUGCCAUGCUAGAGUACUGGAGGGGUGACUAGAAUUCUCGGUGUAGCAGUGAAAUGCGUAGAUAUCGAGAGGAAUACCAAAGGCGUAGGCAGGUCACUGGACAGUUACUGACACUGAGGCACGAAGGCCAGGGGAGCGAACGGGAUUAGAUACCCUAGUAGUCC